UACAGGGGGGGCAAGCGUUGUUCGGAAUUACUGGGCGUAAAGGGUUCGUAGGUGGCCACUUAAGUCAGACGUGAAAUCCCUCAGCUUAACUGGGGAACUGCGUCUGAUACUGGGUGGCUUGAGUGCAGGAGAGGAAUGCGGAAUUCCAGGUGUAGCGGUGAAAUGCGUAGAUAUCUGGAGGAACACCGGUGGCGAAGGCGGCAUUCUGGACUGUAACUGACACUGAGGAACGAAAGCCAGGGGAGCAAACGGGG
rnacentral:rRNA from 1 species